rnacentral:lncRNA from 1 species
UUGCGGUCAUGGGUCAAGAGAUCAGAUAAUUCGAAUGAUUAAUUUAUACCUCUUCACCCAUAUGUAUGGGGGAGAAAAGAUUUAUAUACAUAUAAGUCAUAUUUUCUCUUGACUCAAAACUGAUAUGAAAUUAAAGAGACCCUCUCUACACCACAACAUAUCUCCCCAAUUAAGAGAGAAUAUGUGUGAGCAGAAGGUGUUCUCACAGACAGUGCC